UCAGGGAGAAAGUGUAUUUAUUUGUGAUCCAUAAGCUUUGAAGAAUUUGUAAUAUGUACUCCUUUCCCUUUGGAAUGAGGGAAAAAGGGAGUGUUUGUGACCUUUUUUCUGUAUAAGCAAUUACUUGAUCAGCUAUGGAGAGAGAAAAAGUGUCAGCUACAGAAGAGUUGAAGACAUAGUGAGGAAAAAAGAUAUAGAGACACUUCUGAUGAUGUUUUCAACUUUAUAUUAUGAAAAGUAUUUGAGAAGAGGAAGGAAGAGGGAGGGAACAAGCAUUAAUUAAACACUAUGUGGGAGGCAUUGUAUUAUCUCAUUUUACAGGUGAGGAAACAGAGGCAGACUGGAUUAAGUGAUUUAUCCAGGAUCACACAGCUACUCUAUCUAAUCUGUGAUUAUAGGAUCCUUCUAAGGAUGCCAUUGGAAACCAAGAACUGUUGAACCACGAAGGAGAAGGAGCAGGUCAUGCUAUUUCUGCCAUUCCCCAACUCUCUUCCACUUAGCCCUGAAAGGACCUCAGACAUUAAUCAUGGAGCAAUGGAUGAUUGAUAUGGCUGUACCCUGAUUAGAAAAGGGUUCAUUUUACUUGCACAUGGUACAUGGAAUUAGUUAAGGGUUGCACAGGAAAGGGAGCG
rnacentral:lncRNA from 1 species